UACGUAGGUGGCAAGCGUUGUCCGGAUUUACUGGGCGUAAAGAGCGCGCAGGCGGUCGUUCAAGUCGCGUGUGAAAGCCCCCGGCUCAACUGGGGAGGGUCAUUCGAUACUGCUCGGCUCGAAGACAGGAGAGGGAAGUGGAAUUCCCGGUGUAGUGGUGAAAUGCGUAGAUAUCAGGAGGAACACCGGUGGCGAAGGCGGUUCUCUGGGCAUUACCUGACGCUGAGGAGCGAAAGUGUGGGGAGCGAACAGG
rnacentral:rRNA from 1 species